AAUAAUAUCAUAAAAAUUUCUCAUAGUGGUACAUGUGAAGAAGUGUGAUACUUACAAUGGGUAAAGAAGGAAUAGAAUUUUUAAUAGACAUUAUUGCAUCAAAACAACUUGCAGCAUAAUCUCCUCUUGAUACACCAACGGACAACAAAAACUGAAUGCCUUCAGACCUACUCAUAUGGCCACAAUCAUCCAGAUUUAAAUGCAUUAAAUGGAAUGGCAUAAAAAAACUUGCAGUAUAGUAUCCAUGAUUGUUCAAGUAUUGAGUAUUAGCUGGACCAAUGCCUGGAAUGCUGGAAACUGGUCUCCUUGUAUUAUUAGAUGCUGCAAAUGCAAUUUGUUUUUGUGUAGCCAUUAUAGAAAUCACAAUAUUCAGAACCUUUACUAAUAAAAUAACGCAGAUUGUACCAUUA